AUGAACGUUGGCGGCGUGCCUAAUACAUGCAAGUCGAGCGAACAGACGAGGAGCUUGCUCCUCUGACGUUAGCGGCGGACGGGUGAGUAACACGUGGAUAACCUACCUAUAAGACUGGGAUAACUUCGGGAAACCGGAGCUAAUACCGGAUAAUAUAUUGAACCGCAUGGUUCAAUAGUGAAAGACGGUUUUGCUGUCACUUAUAGAUGGAUCCGCGCCGCAUUAGCUAGUUGGUAAGGUAACGGCUUACCAAGGCAACGAUGCGUAGCCGACCUGAGAGGGUGAUCGGCCACACUGGAACUGAGACACGGUCCAGACUCCUACGGGAGGCAGCAGUAGGGAAUCUUCCGCAAUGGGCGAAAGCCUGACGGAGCAACGCCGCGUGAGUGAUGAAGGUCUUCGGAUCGUAAAACUCUGUUAUUAGGGAAGAACAAAUGUGUAAGUAACUAUGCACGUCUUGACGGUACCUAAUCAGAAAGCCACGGCUAACUACGUG
rnacentral:rRNA from 1 species